AUGGCGUACGCGGUCCCUCCCGGCGACGACGACGAUCUGAUGAACGUCCUCAGGCUCCCGCUCAGGCAACUCCCUGCCUGGGUGAACAAGGACGACCUCUACCGCGACGUUCCCCACGUCGUCGCCGGCGACUCCUUCCAGGCCACGGACGGCGCUGGAAGGCCGGCGUACUACGUCCUCACGCCGCUCCGCGCCAUGGGAAGCCGGACGAGGCGCACGGUCGGCGGCGGGUUGUGGAAGGUGGAGAAGACCAUCACCCUCCUACCUACCGCCGACGAGGCCAAGUCUUCCACUUCCAAGCCGGCGCCACAAGGAAGCUGCACCAAGCUCUCGUUCAUCUCCCGGCCACCCGGCGGGCCGGAGGGGAGGAACGGCUGGCUAAUGAAGCAGUAUCUGCUCCCCCACUCGCCAGGUGCCCCCGCAGGCCCCGCCCUCUGCAAAUUGUAUUUCAAGAAGUCGGCGGUGGCGGCUACGGCGGCGUCGACUACGGCGGCGGCGGCGGCGGGGAAGGCGACCGCGGCUGCUCGUCCCAGCCGCCUGCCCGCAUCCGCCUCUUCCCCGAAGGGCUUCUUGAAGAAGCCGGCGGCGGAGGCGCCAUCUACGGCGGUGCCGCCGGCGACGAAGGCGGCAACAUCCCAGGACGCGGGCGCUCGUCCCCUGCGCCUGCGCGUGCCGACCUCCACCACUUACGCCAGCCGGCUGCGCCUGCCGGCCUCCAUCCCUUACUCCAAGAUCUUGAAGAAGCCGCCCGCCGAGGCGCCAUCUACGGCGGCGAAGGCUCCAUCUCGCGCCAGCAGCUUCCGCCGGCCUGCCUCCACCCCCUGCCCGAUGAAGAAGCCCGCGGCGGAGGCGCCACCUGCAGCGGAGCAGGCGCCGGCAAAGGCGGCCGAGGCGCCAUCUACGGCGGCGAAGGCUCCAUCUCACGCCAGCAGCUNNNNNNNNNNNNNNNNNGCCAGCCAGGACUCCACGCCUCCACUGCGCCGCCAGCUCUCCCCCGGCACCACACCCGGCAGGAGGUGGGUGCUGGUGGAAACCGAGGCGACCAGCCCCCCUCCCCAGCCAAACCAUGAUCGCAUCCUCAAGCGAAUCUACAAGCUCGCAGAGCUGGAGGUAGUCGAUGUCGAGGAAGGCGAACUUUUGGAGCAGGGGCACUAUCUUAGAAAAAAAGGAAAAUUCUCUUGCGACAAGUCCUCGUUUAUGCUCCUUAAGGACGACUAUUGUAGCUUCAGGAGUAGGGAGCUUUCCUGA
rnacentral:rRNA from 1 species